rnacentral:tRNA from 1 species
GGUCACAUGGCGGAGUGGAUAUUGCAUUAGACUCCGGAUCUAAAGGUCGUGGGUUCGAAUCCAACUGUGAUCA